AAUGUGUUGACACGUGUCAUAAAGUUUGAACGUGUGAAAGAAAUAUUAUAGAAGGACUAAAGUUGACAAACAAGGAAAGUAUGUGAAUAUACGUAUUCUAAGUGUCAACUGUGAAUAAAUAUAAUGUACAUUAACCCUACAUGAUGCUCAUACCUUCAAACGAAUAAAUCAUGGAUCAUACGAAGCUAAAAGUGAGAGAUUACAAACUACAGGGGUUAAAUGUGUCAACAUGUUUAAAGAUAUACCUCUGAGUGACCUUUUGACAAACCCUAAGCUUUGUAAAUGUUAAUCAUGCUCACUAGAAUGCACGAUUUAAAUUUCAUAAAGUUUCGUCAACGUAUGAGAAAGUUGUGAUCAAAUUCGUGUGCGAGGGUUUAAAGCGUAAACGUUGAAAGUUAGGCCUUUUCGGGUAACAAUUUAGUUACCCGAGGGCUUAACAAAGUGGGUAUAUGUUUUAAAGCCCCUAUAUGUCAAUUAUAAGGGUCCAUACGGCAAUUUAUAAGUGUCUGUACAAGAUUUGAAGAGCCAAGGAUCAAACAGCAAUUAAAUAAAAAAAAAUUUUGGCUGAAUUAAACAUGCUCGCGUAGCGCGAGCCUGAGGUCCUAAGGCGUCGCGCUACGCGACUGCUACAUCUGGACAGAAACUUUAUUUUUUUGAUCCCUUGUCUGCCACAGCCAUGUUACUCCAUUUUGAUCGAUCAUUCUUCACCCAUUGGCCCCUAAAACACCCCCUAGAACACUAGGGCAUGUGUCAAUAAGUUGUGGGGAGUCCUAGACUUGUUUGUCAAUCAUCUAUGGUGUCUUAGUCCACUAUAUAAAGGACCUUCAAGUCACAACCUUUCCUCACACCAUUUACAAGCAAUCUGAGCAUUGGAGGAGCUUACAAGCAGAUCAAGGGCCUUCCUAAUCAACCAUUAAUCAUCUAACUAAAUGCAGGUACUAAACGUAAUUGGCUGGAUUGUCUCCUUAGCAUCAAUAAAGAGUUUCGCAAGCUUAAGAUGCCUGAAGUCUGUUGAACUAUUGUUUCCAUUUUAUGUUCGAUCCUUCUGUGGAUAAGCUCCCGAAUAUUGUGAUAGUUGAUAUUACAAUAAUAAAUUGGGUUGUAUUAUAUUUUAAUUGCUUCCGCUGUGCUUAAUAAUAUUGUGUUGUUUGACUAUUAUGUUGCCAACCAUGACGUCACGAUACUCCCCACCGGGCCUACCGGUGACACGUGGAAAAUCGGGGUGUGACACUAUUGAUCCUAUUAAUCAUGUCUACUAGGAGUUGAUAUUGAAGAAUUUAGAAGAAGAUUUCCUUUUAGGGAGCAUUUAUACAUGAGUCUCAAAACGAGUCUCCCUUCUCGCUAUUGGCCAACAAGUGGUUUGUGAUUGAUGAAGUGGAUAAUUUUCUUAAGGAUAAAGCAUUAAAGGUUCAUUUACUUUGUCUCCUGAACUUUGCGCUGAAAAUCAACCUGCAAGAGCAUAUGAUGCAUGAGGAAGAUGGUUGUCUCUAUGGAUAAAAUUUAAUAUGUUUAUCCUCCUUCAUAUUGUUGCUUUAAACCAUGGGGACGACUCCUAUUACAAAGAGUUGUAUUUCUGAGGGUGUCGCUACAAGUUGGCAUCUGUGCAGUCGGAGCGAAGAGGAAACAACUUAAGAAGAUGGCGAAGAGAGUCGCCGGAGAUGGACGAGGGUGCACGGCGGAUUUUGGCUUGGCUGGAAGUAAUGGUGAAUAGAAGUGUGCACGAGAGUUGCAGCGAACUCCAAGCAGGCGAAGAGAUGGGCAAGAUGGAACAACUAUCCAAUGUUUUACUGCAGCAACGGGUCACUCAAGAUUGUGUUGGCAUGUGGUGUUUUUAAUGUACCCAUUAGGAAGGAUAUCAUUCACCAUGUUGUUAGAUGGCAGCUUGAUAAAGGACAACAAGUAUUAUAUAUUUCUCUAAUUUAUAACUUAAUCUCAUAAUAUCAAUGAUCUUUAAUCAUACGACAUUGAAUAUACGUGUACAAGAAUCCUGCAAUGUUGCCACCAUGGUAUUUGUUUACUUAGUGGAUGAUAUAUGUUCAAGUUUAUGUUGUUAAUUAGUUGUAUAAUCAGUGUUGGUGUAACAUGUGGAUAAUGUUAACAGAUAUGGUGUACUUUUGGAAGUUGUACAAGUUCUUACCGAUACCAAUUUCAUCUUCACAAAGCUUACAUAAGUUCUAAUGGAGGGUGGUUCAUGGAUGGUUAAUGAUCAAGAUGGGAACAAAAUUACUUCAUGUGGAAGUUUUGGAUUACAUUCAAAAGGCUAAAGCAUUAAACUUUAUGAAGUGUUCUAAACACAUUAAUGUUGAUUCAAUCAGGGUCACAUCGUCACAUGGGUAGAAUAGAGAGGUGUUUCGAGCAACCAAAGACUAUGAAAUGUGUGAGAAUGGUUAGGUGGCUGGUAGAAAUUAUAGUGGAAAAUUUGGUAGCCUAUAUCUACUGUUGGUUUCUCAUUGUUUCAAAGUUUAAUGGAAGCUUCAAUCUGAAAGAAUA